rnacentral:rRNA from 1 species
AGUGAACGCUGGCGGUAGGCCUAACACAUGCAAGUCGAACGGCAGCACAGUAAGAGCUUGCUCUUACGGGUGGCGAGUGGCGGACGGGUGAGGAAUACAUCGGAAUCUACUUUUUCGUGGGGGAUAACGUAGGGAAACUUACGCUAAUACCGCAUACGACCUACGGGUGAAAGCAGGGGAUCUUCGGACCUUGCGCGAUUGAAUGAGCCGAUGUCGGAUUAGCAAGUUGGCGGGGUAAAGGCCCACCAAGGCGACGAUCCGUAGCUGGUCUGAGAGGAUGAUCAGCCACACUGGAACUGAGACACGGUCCAGACUCCUACGGGAGGCAGCAGUGGGGAAUAUUGGACAAUGGGCGCAAGCCUGAUCCAGCCAUACCGCGUGGGUGAAGAAGGCCUUCGGGUUGUAAAGCCCUUUUGUUGGGAAAGAAAAGCAGCAGGUUAAUACCCCGCUGUCCUGACGGUACCCAAAGAAUAAGCACCGGCUAACUUCGUG